CCGAGAGCGAGCGAGAUAGAGAGAGAAAGCGAGGAGCGAGAGGGAGAGAGGGCCAACAGCGAGGAAGAGAGAGUGCAGAAGGGAAGCGCGAGCGAGAGAGAAAAUCAGAGGGAAAAUAGUUGCAGAGGAUCUUCUUCUUUCUCGUUCAGGGAGGAUAAAAGGUCCGCCAUUGUUACCCCUCUGCAACAACAUUUCCCAUGUGAGAGACCUUCUUCCAUUUCCUCCUCAUACACCAGAUACAGUUUUAUAACCGCGAUUUCCGUACAGUCGGAGCGACAUUGUCGUCCUCUUACAUGCGUGCUGCUGCAGCUCUGAAAUUUGAAAAACCGAUAAUUUGGGCACACAUUGGUGGAUUUUCUUCGUACGGUUCCCUCUGAAGAGAAGAAUCCAUGGUUUUUUCGGCAUUGGGUCGUGGCCGUUGCUGAGGGAUUCUAGGGUUUUGGGAGCUCGGCCUCGGAUCUGAAUCUAAUCAGAUUUUUCGUCCGCAAUGGCUGCCAAUGUCAAUUUGGCAGUAGGAUCUCAUGUUUGGGUUGAGGAUUCUGAGGAAGCCUGGAUUGAUGGCGAAGUUGUAGGAGUCAAUGAUGAAGAGAUUGAAAUAAACUGUACAUCAGGGAAGACGGUUACAGCCAAAGCAUCCAGCGUCUACCCAAAGGAUCCUGAAUUUCCUCAAUGUGGUGUAGAUGAUAUGACUAAGUUGGCUUAUCUGCAUGAACCAGGGGUUUUGCAGAAUUUAAAAAGUCGAUACUGUGUAAACGAAAUAUAUACUUAUACAGGAAGUAUAUUGAUAGCUGUGAACCCCUUCCGGAGACUACCUCAUUUAUAUGAUAAUCAUAUGAUGGAACAGUAUAAAGGUGUGGCUUUAGGUGAGCUGAGCCCACACCCUUUUGCUAUUGCUGAUGCUGCCUAUAGACAGAUGAUUAACGAGGGAAUAAGCCAGGCAAUUUUGGUCAGUGGGGAAAGUGGAGCUGGGAAAACAGAGAGUACAAAGAUGCUUAUGCGUUAUCUUGCCUAUAUGGGUGGAAGAGCUGUAUCGGAGGGGCGGUCUGUGGAACAGCAAGUAUUGGAGUCUAACCCUGUUCUUGAAGCAUUUGGUAAUGCAAAGACUGUCCGAAACAAUAAUUCCAGUCGUUUUGGUAAGUUCGUGGAGAUUCAGUUUGAUCAAACAGGGAGAAUCUCAGGAGCUGCCAUUAGAACUUAUUUAUUGGAGCGAUCCAGAGUUUGUCAAGUAUCUGAUCCAGAGAGAAAUUACCAUUGCUUUUAUAUGCUCUGUUCUGCACCUCCAGAGGAUUUUGAGAAGUACAAAUUGGGAAAUCCAAGAACAUUUCAUUAUUUAAAUCAGUCCAACUGCUAUGAGCUGGAUGGGGUGGACGAUUCAGAGGAGUAUCUCACAACUAGGAAAGCUAUGGAUGUGGUUGGGAUCAGUUCUGAGGAGCAGGAUGGAAUAUUUCGAGUUGUAGCUGCAAUACUUCAUUUAGGCAACGUUAACUUUGCAAAGGGGAAUGAAUCUGAUUCUUCUGAACCCAAGGAUGAUAACUCUCGGUUCCAUCUCAAAACUGCUGCUGAACUAUUCAUGUGUGAUGAGCAAUCUCUUGAAGAUUCUCUGUGCAAACGUGUGAUGGUGACCCGUGAUGAGACCAUAAAGAAAAGCUUAGAUCCAGAUUCUGCAGCCAUCAGUAGAGAUGCAUUGGCCAAAAUUGUUUAUUCAAGGUUAUUUGAUUGGCUUGUGAACAAGAUAAACAACACUAUUGGUCAGGAUCCUGAUUCAAAAUAUUUGAUUGGAGUUCUGGAUAUUUAUGGAUUCGAGAGUUUCAAGACAAACAGCUUCGAGCAAUUUUGUAUCAAUUUGACAAAUGAAAAAUUGCAGCAGCAUUUCAACCAGCAUGUGUUCAAGAUGGAGCAAGAAGAAUAUACUAAAGAAGAAAUUGAUUGGAGUUACAUAGAGUUCAUCGAUAAUCAGGAUGUUCUUGAUCUCAUUGAAAAGAAGCCCGGUGGCAUCAUUGCUCUUCUGGAUGAGGCUUGUAUGUUCCCGAGAUCAACCCACGAAACAUUUUCACAGAAGCUUUAUCAAACUUUUAAAGACCAUAAACGUUUUAACAAGCCAAAAUUGUCGCCUACCGACUUUACCAUUUGCCAUUAUGCCGGUGAUGUUACUUAUCAAACAGAGUUCUUCCUGGAUAAGAACAAAGAUUAUGUUGUUGCAGAGCAUCAAGCACUCCUUAGUGCCUCCAAAUGCCCUUUUGUUUCAGGCUUGUUCCCUCCUUUACCCGAAGAAUCUGCCAAACAAUCAAAGUUCUCAUCAAUAGGUUCUCGAUUCAAGGUCCCUUUCUGUUCCAAAUUUCUAAUUAAGCUUAUGCUCACUGAUCAAUUAAAUUUUGUUUAUGUUCCUUUUGUUUUUAUUCUUUAUCGUCUUCUUGAACAGCAACAACUGCAAUCAUUGCUUGAAACGCUAAGUGCCAUUGAGCCUCACUACAUACGCUGUGUAAAGCCAAAUAAUCAACUCAAACCUGCCAUAUUUGAAAAUACCGCUGUUUUACAGCAGCUUUGCUGUGGGGGAGUAAUGGAGGCAAUUCGGAUUAGUUGUGCUGGAUAUCCAACUAGAAAGACCUUUGGAGAAUUUACAAGUCGUUUUAAAAUUCUGGCACCUGAGGUUCUAAAUGGAAGCGUUGAUGAGGUCACUGCAUGCAAGAAGCUCUUACAAAAGGUCAACCUCAAGGGAUAUCAGGUUGGGAAAACAAAAGUGUUCCUCAGGGCUGGUCAGAUGGCAGAACUAGAUGCAUAUAGAAGUGAGUUAUUGGGAAGAUCGGCUAGCGUUAUCCAGAGAAAAGUUCGCUCCUACCUAUGUCGCAAAAAAUUUGUCUUGUUGCGGUUGUCUGCCAUCCAAAUCCAAGGCUUAUGUAGAGGACAAGUUGCACGCCAACGAUAUGAAAACAUGAGAAGGGAAGCUGCUUCUGUGAUUAUUCAGAAAUAUGGUCGCUCGUAUCUUUCUAGGAAUGGUUAUAAAAACUUGUGCUCUUCAGCUGUUUGUAUUCAAAUUGGUAUGCGAGGGUUGGCUGCUCGUAAGGAGCUUAGUUCCAGGAAGAAAACAAGGGCUGCAACAGUGAUACAGAGUCAUUGCCGGAAACACUUAGCACAUGCUCGUUAUUUGAGGAUGAAGAAAGCAGCUAUUUCCAUACAAUGUGGUUGGAGACGAGUAGUUGCUCGUAGAGAGUUGCGGAAGCUAAAGAUGGCUGCUAAGGAAACUGGUGCUCUCCAAGAAGCCAAAAAUAAGUUGGAAAAGGAAGUUGAAGAGCUAACCUGGCGCCUGCAACUGGAGAAGCGAAUGAGGGCUGACAUGGAAGAGGCCAAAACAAAGGAAAAUGCGAAGUUGCAGUCUGCUUUGAAAGAGAUGCAACUCGAAUUUCAAGAAACUAAAUCCCUGCUUAUGAAGGAACGUGAGGCUGCAGCAAAAGCAUCAGAGGAGGCAGCAAAAGCGGCUGAGGCUGCAGCAAAAGUAGCUGAACAACUGCCAGUCGUACAGGAGAUUUCAGUUGUGGAUCAGGAAAUAGUCAAUAAGCUUACUGCCGAAAAUGAGCAGCUUAAGGCCCUGGUAGAUUCACUGGAAAAGAAGAUUGAUGAAACAGAGAAAAAGUUUGAAGAAACAAGUAGGCUUAGUGAACAGCGGCUCAAGCAGGCUACGGAGGCAGAAUCGAAGAUAAUUGAUUUGAAGACUGCCAUGCAGAGGCUAGAAGAAAAACUUUCUGACAUGGAAACCGAGGACCAUAUUUUGCGUCAGCAAGCAUUAAAGAUGUCAGCUUCUAUGAAAAUGUCAGAGCAUUUGGCUGGAGCACCAGCUCAGCCUUUGGGGAAUGGUCAUCAUGAACCACUGAGAACUACACCGUCCAAGAAAUUUGGCUCAGAGUCUUUCAGGAGAUCCCAAAUUGAAAGGCAACAUGAGGGUGUAGAUACUCUUAUGAAAUUAGUGACAGGUAAUCUUGGAUUCAGUGAAGGAAAGCCAGUUGCAGCAAUAACAACAUACAAAUGUCUUCUGCACUGGAGAUUAUUUGAAGCGGAAAAAACUAGUGUAUUUGACCGACUUAUUCAGAUAAUUGGUUCUGCAAUUGAGGACCAGGAUAACAAUGAUCAUAUGGCUUAUUGGCUUUCCAAUACAUCUACAUUGUUGUUCUUGCUCCAGCGGAGUUUAAGAACUGCUCCACGAAAGCCUCCUACCCCUACAUCUUUAUUUGGAAGGAUGACCCAAGGCUUCCGAUCUUCUUCUGCCAAUCUUUCAGUUGGUGCUUCUGAUUUAGUACGUCAGGUUGAGGCCAAGUAUCCAGCUUUGCUCUUUAAGCAGCAACUUACAGCAUAUGUAGAAAAGAUAUAUGGAAUCGUCCGAGACAAUUUGAAGAAGGAAUUGUCACUUCAUCUUUCUUCUUGCAUCCAGGCACCCAAAACGGCAAAAGGUGGUGUUUCAAAAUCACCUGAAGGAUCAACUGGGAACAGUCCUCGGGCUAAUCCUUGGAAUAGCAUCAUCGCAAAUCUUAAUGGGUUUCUCACUACAUUUAAAGAAAAUUGUGUGCCUCCAAUUAUUGUUCAGAAGAUAUUUACUCAAAUGUUCUCAUACAUCAAUGUACAGAUUUUUAAUAGCCUUCUUCUUCGUCGAGAGUGCUGCACCUUCAGCAAUGGCCAAUAUGUGAAGAAUGGGCUAGCUGAAUUGGAGCUAUGGUGUAGCCUAGCAAAAGAAGAGUAUGCUGCCUCAUCAUGGGAUGAACUCAAAUAUGUUAGGCAGGCUGUAGGAUUCUUGGUUCUACACCAAAAGUCCAGAAUCUCCUAUGAUGAACUAACAAAUGACCUAUGCCCUGUCUUGAGUGUUCAACAACUUCAUAGAGUAUGCACACUAUUUUUGGAUGAUGAUUACAACACGCAAAGUGUUUCCCCUGAUGUCAUUUCCAGCAUGAACUUUCUAAUGACAGAUGACUCCAGCAGUGAUGAUAGCAGCUCCUUCUUGCUGGAUGACAAUUCCAGCAUUCCUUUUUCAAUUGAAGAUAUAUCGAGUUCCAUGCAAGACCAGAGCUAUUCAGAUGUAAAACCUCCCACAGAACUUUCGGAGAAUCCAGACUUCCAAUUUUUACAGGAGUAAGGCAGUCACUUCCACAAUCUUCCUCUUUGUGGUACACGUUUUUGACAAGGAUUUAACCGAAGCUUCAAUUCUUUCAACUCCUGUAAAUCCGCCCCAAAUUUUUCGCCACUUCAGGUGCUUUUCUUCAUUGUAACUUCCAUUGACCUGGGUGUGGUAUUCUUAUUUCCAGUUAGAAUUGUAAACUUAUAUUAGGCUGGUUGGGAUAGGUAAAGGGGCAGGAUAGGUUUCAGAGUUCGCUUUCAUUUUGUAAUUCGACAUCGAGGGAGCAUUCUUUAUAGGGAUGGUAGCAGGGAAGAACAGUUUGGUGGGAGUGAUCUCAAAACUACUGCUCCUGCCCCGAAUCUUCAUUUGUACAAAGUGGUAGAAUGUACUACGGUACAAGAUCAGUGAUGUUCUCUUCGUCCUAUGGAGACCAAGGAAUAUGGUCACUCGUCUUUAAAGUUUACAUCAAGGAUGAAGAAUACAUGAAUGCGCUUUUAGUGUUUUUAAUAUGAAUGCUUGAUAUCAAUUCCAAUGAUUGAUACCAUGAUUCCUUAGAUUUCAAAUCAAGUGUUUUAGAGAACGGAGCUCAUACGGAAUCUACAAGUUUUGAAUUGUAAACUCAUUUUUCAACGUUCUGUUCAUAUAACGUUUGGUCGCACACUUGUUUAGCUA